rnacentral:rRNA from 1 species
CCUACGGGUGGCAGCAGUGAGGAAUAUUGGUCAAUGGGCGCGAGCCUGAACCAGCCAAGUAGCGUGAAGGAUGACUGCCCUACGGGUUGUAAACUUCUUUUAUAAAGGAAUAAAGUGAGGCACGUGUGCCUUUUUGUAUGUACUUUUUGAAUAAGGAUCGGCUAAUUACGUGCCAGCAGCCGCGGUAAUACGGAGGAUCCGAGCGUUAUCCGGAUUUAUUGGGUUGAAAGGGAGCGUAGAUGGGUUGUUAAGUCAGUUGUGAAAGUUUGCGGCGCAACCGUAGAAUUGCAAUUGAUACUGGCAGCCUUGAGUACAGGUGAGGUAGGCGGAAUUCGUGGUGUAGCGGUGAAAUGCUUAGAUAUCACGAAGAACGCCGAUUGCGAAGGCAGCUUACUAAACUGCCACUGACGUUGAUGCUCGAAAGUGUGGGUAUCAAACAGGAUUAGAUACCCGUGUAGUC